rnacentral:rRNA from 1 species
CAGGCUUAACACAUGCAAGUCGAGGGGCAGCAUGGUCUUAGCUUGCUAAGACUGAUGGCGACCGGCGCACGGGUGAGUAACACGUAUCCAACCCGCCGUCUACUCUUGGACAGCCUUCUGAAAGGAAGAUUAAUACAAGAUGGCAUCAUGAGUCCGCAUGUUCACAUGAUUAAAGGUAUUCCGGUAGACGAUGGGGAUGCGUUCCAUUAGAUAGUAGGCGGGGUAACGGCCCACCUAGUCUUCGAUGGAUAGGGGUUCUGAGAGGAAGGUCCCCCACAUUGGAACUGAGACACGGUCCAAACUCCUACGGGAGGCAGCAGUGAGGAAUAUUGGUCAAUGGGCGAGAGCCUGAACCAGCCAAGUAGCGUGAAGGAUGACUGCCCUAUGGGUUGUAAACUUCUUUUAUAAAGGAAUAAAGUCGGGUAUGGAUACCCGUUUGCAUGUACUUUAUGAAUAAGGAUCGGCUAACUCCGUGCCAGCAGCCGCGGUAAUACGGAGGAUCCGAGCGUUAUCCGGAUUUAUUGGGUUUAAAGGGAGCGUAGAUGGAUGUUUAAGUCAGUUGUGAAAGUUUGCGGCUCAACCGUAAAAUUGCAGUUGAUACUGGAUAUCUUGAGUGCAGUUGAGGCAGGCGGAAUUCGUGGUGUAGCGGUGAAAUGCUUAGAUAUCACGAAGAACUCCGAUUGCGAAGGCAGCCUGCUAAGCUGCAACUGACAUUGAGGCUCGAAAGUGUGGGUAUCAAACAGGAUUAGAUACCCUGGUAGUCCACACGGUAAACGAUGAAUACUCGCUGUUUGCGAUAUACGGCAAGCGGCCAAGCGAAAGCGUUAAGUAUUCCACCUGGGGAGUACGCCGGCAACGGUGAAACUCAAAGGAAUUGACGGGGGCCCGCACAAGCGGAGGAACAUGUGGUUUAAUUCGAUGAUACGCGAGGAACCUUACCCGGGCUUAAAUUGCAGAUGAAUUACGGUGAAAGCCGUAAGCCGCAAGGCAUCUGUGAAGGUGCUGCAUGGUUGUCGUCAGCUCGUGCCGUGAGGUGUCGGCUUAAGUGCCAUAACGAGCGCAACCCUUGUUGUCAGUUACUAACAGGUUCCGCUGAGGACUCUGACAAGACUGCCAUCGUAAGAUGUGAGGAAGGUGGGGAUGACGUCAAAUCAGCACGGCCCUUACGUCCGGGGCUACACACGUGUUACAAUGGGGGGUACAGAGGGCCGCUACCACGCGAGUGGAUGCCAAUCCCAAAAACCUCUCUCAGUUCGGACUGGAGUCUGCAACCCGACUCCACGAAGCUGGAUUCGCUAGUAAUCGCGCAUCAGCCACGGCGCGGUGAAUACGUUCCCGGGCCUUGUACACACCGCCCGUCAAGCCAUGGGAGCCGGGGGUACCUGAAGUGCGUAACCGCGAGGAGCGCCCUAGGGUAAAACUGGUGACUGGGGCUAAGUCAUAACA